AAUGCCUAAGACACACAGAUGGCUGCUGUGUCCUGUGUGCGUCAGCAGGCGGCAGAGGGGAGAAAGGCUAUGUCUACACUCAGCGUUCCCACCUGUGACGGUGAGUGAUGAAUAGCUCCCUGA
rnacentral:snoRNA from 1 species